UCUCUUUUCCCUCCCAUUCUUCAUUACCCAACCCUAUCCUCCACCCCAAAUCUAAUGCAUCUGCUUCUCAUUCGCUCUAUCAGUAUUUCCAGAUCUUUGAACCACUUCUACACCAUCGACAUAGAAGGCUCCUUCAUCCUCGUUCAACAGCCCUUAAUUCUCAUUCUCCUUAAGAGCUCCUACGGAUGUUUGGUUGAAGAGGAUAGAAUGUUAUGUACCGGCUAUCUCAUCUAGUGCCCUAAUUCUUGGAAUUUUGAUUUCUUGUGUUGGUUAGAAGGCAUUUGAAAUCACCAUUAUCAAAAGUGAUGUCUUUUAACACAUUCAAUCAACCUCUGUUCUAUCCAAGGUUUUCAUCAUCGAAUUUGCUUGGAUGGUAAUUACAGUAGAAUGGAAUAAGGAUUGGAUCUAGCACUGAAGGACUUCAAGAAGUGGCU
rnacentral:lncRNA from 1 species